rnacentral:misc_RNA from 1 species
UCUCCGUAGGUGAACCUGCGGAGGGAUCGUUACUGAGUGAGGGCUCACGCCCGACCUCCAACCCUUUGUUAACACAUCUUGUUGCUUCGGGGGCGACCCUGCCGGCACUCUGUCGCCGGGCGCCCCCGAAGGUCUCCGAACACUGCAUCUUUGCGUCGGAGUUUAAAACAAAUUAAACAAAACUUUCAACAACGGAUCUCUUGGUUAUGGCAUCGAUGAAGAACGCAGC